ACGAACGCUGGCGGCGUGCUUAACACAUGCAAGUCGAACGGAAAGGCCCUGCUUUUGUGGGGUGCUCGGGUGGCGAACGGGUGAGUAACACGUGAGUGACCUGCCCUUGACUUUGGGAUAACUUCAUGAAACUGGGGCUAAUACCGGAUAGGAGCUCCUGCUGCCUGGUGGGGGUUGGAAAGUUUCGGCGGUUGGGGAUGGAUUCGCGGCUUAUCAGCUUGUUGGUGGGGUAGUGGCUUACAAAGGCUUUGACGGGUAGCCGGCCUGAGAGGGUGACCGGGCACAUGGGGACUGAGAGACGGACCAGACUCCUACGGGAGGCAGAAGUGGAGAAUAUUGCGCAAUGGGCGGAAGCCUGAUGCAGCGACGCCGCGUGCGUGAUGACGGCCUUCGGGUUGUAAACCGAUGUCGCCGGUGACGAAGCGUGAGUGACGGUAAUGGGUAAGGAAGCACCGGCUAACUACGUG
rnacentral:rRNA from 1 species